GAUGAACGCUGGCGGCGUGCCUAAUACAUGCAAGUCGAACGCUGAAGGAAGGAGCUUGCUCUUUCCGGAUGAGUUGCGAACGGGUGAGUAACGCGUAGGUAACCUGCCUGGUAGCGGGGGAUAACUAUUGGGAACGAUAGCUAAUACCGCAUAACAGUAGAUGUUGCAUGAUAUCUACUUAAAAGGUGCAAUUGCACCACUACCAGAUGGACCUGCGUUGUAUUAGCUAGUUGGUGAGGUAACGGCUCACCAAGGCGACGAUACAUAGCCGACCUGAGAGGGGGGUCCGCCACACUGGGACUGGGACACGGCCCAGACUCCUUCGGGAGGCAGCAGUAGGGAAUCUUUGGCAAUGGACGGAAGUCUGACCGGACAACGCCGCGUGAGGGAAGAAGGGUUUCGAAUCGUAAAGCUCUGUUGUAAGGGAAGAACGAGUGGGAGAGUGGAAAGUUCACACUGUGACGGUAUCUUACCAGAAAGGGACGGCUAACUACGUG
rnacentral:rRNA from 1 species